rnacentral:rRNA from 1 species
AUUGAACGCUGGCGACAUGCUUUACACAUGCAAGUCGAGCGGCAGCGCGGGGGCAACUCUGGCGGCGAGCGGCGAACGGGUGAGGAAUACAUCGGAACGUGUCCCGUAAUGGGGGAUAGCCCGGCGAAAGCCGGAUUAAUACCGCAUAUGCUCUGCGGAGGAAAGCUGGGGAUCUGUUACAGGACCUGGCGUUAUGGGAGCGGCCGAUGUCCGAUUAGCAGUUGGUGGGUAAGGCUUACCAAGGCGACGAUCGGUAGCUGGUCUGAGAGGAUGAUCAGCCACACUGGGACUGAGACACGGCCCAGACUCCUACGGGAAGGCAGCAGUGGGAAUUUUGGACAAUGGGGGCAACCCUGAUCCAGCCAUGCCGCGUGC